rnacentral:rRNA from 1 species
CCUUGUACACACCGCCCGUCACACCAUGGGAGUUGGUUCUACCUGAAGCUGGUGUUGCUAACCUUAGGGGGGCAGCCAACCACGGUAGGGUCAGUGACUGGGGUG